rnacentral:RNase_P_RNA from 1 species
UCAGAUGGUCGGAUAGCUGCGCAUAAAAAUUGGGAAACCUUUUUAUGUGAGGAAAGUCCGGGCUCCACGGAAAUACGGUGCCGGUUAACGGCCGGCGGGGGCGACCCUAGGGAAAGUGCCACAGAAAAGAAACCGCCUAUAUGUAAUACUUUAAGUAAAAUAUGGGUAAGGGUGAAAUGGUGCGGUAAGAGCGCACCGCGCAGCCGGCAACGGAAGCGGCAUGGUAAACCCCACUGGGAGCAAGAUCGAAUAGAGGUGACAGAUGGCAUAUUUCCGUGCCGUCACCCGGGUGGAUCGCAAGAGGUAUUCGGCAACGAAUGCCCCAGAUGAAUAGCUAUCUCUUACCAAACUAAAGUUUUGGCAAGAACAGAACCCGGCUUAUAGACCAUCUGGCUUU